ACAACAAACGUUAUAAAAUGUGUAAAAAUACUGUACAAAUAUAAAUAUACAAUAUUUAUAUAAAUACCUUUGUUUCUUUUGUUUCAAAAUGACUUUACAGUUUGAAGAAUUAAAGGUGGAAGUACAAGGAAUACAGCACCAAAGCUACAAUAGGUCCACAAGCUCGUGCUAAUGCUCCAAGAGAACGAAAAACACCUGUUAUUGCACCUUUUUGAUGAUCAGGACCAAUACGUGUUACAAGCGUCAUCAUACAUGUAACAACCAUGGCAGUUGCUAUAAUGUAUGAAAAAGAUAUAAAAUUUUUAUUUAUUUUAAUCAAAUAUGAUGAAUAAUCCAUAGAUAUUUGUUGUAUUUCAUAUAUAUAAAUUUAUGUCACAAUAUACUCACAAAUUGCAAACAGAAA